GACGAACGCUGGCGGCGUGCUUAACACAUGCAAGUCGAACGGUAAGGCCCUUCGGGGUACACGAGUGGCGAACGGGUGAGUAACACGUGGGUGAUCUGCCCUGCACUUCGGGAUAAGCCUGGGAAACUGGUCUAAUACCGGAUAGGACUCCGGACUGCAUGGUCUGGGGUGGAAAGCUUUUGCGGUGUGGGAUGGGCCCGCGGCCUAUCAGCUUGUUGGUGGGGUGAUGGCCUACCAAGGCGACGACGGGUAGCCGGCCUGAGAGGGUGACCGGCCACACUGGGACUGAGAUACGGCCCAGACUCCUACGGGAGGCAGCAGUGGGGAAUAUUGCACAAUGGGCGCAAGCCUGAUGCAGCGACGCCGCGUGAGGGAUGACGGCCUUCGGGUUGUAAACCUCUUUCAGCACAGACGAAGCGCAAGUGACGGUAUGUGCAGAAGAAGGACCGGCCAACUACGUGCCAGCCGCCGCGGUAAGAC
rnacentral:rRNA from 1 species